UACGGAGGGUGCAAGCGUUAUCCGGAUUCGACUGGGUUUAAAGGGUGCGUAGGUGGGCAGGUAAGUCAGUGGAUGAAAUCGUCCGGGCUUAACCCGGAACUGCCGUUGAUACUAUUUGUCUUGAAUAUUGUGGAGGUAAGCGGAAUAUGUCAUGUAGCGGUGAAAUGCUUAGAUAUGACAUAGAACACCAAUUGCGAAGGCAGCUUACUACACAACGAUUGACGCUGAGGCACGAAAGCGUGGGGAUCAAACAGG
rnacentral:rRNA from 1 species